rnacentral:misc_RNA from 1 species
AAGUCGUAACAAGGUUUCCGUAGGUGAACCUGCGGAAGGAUCAUUAUCAAAACAGCGGACUUCGGUCCUUGCUGCACCCUUGUCUUUUGCGCACCGUAUUGUUUCCUCGGCGGGCUUGCCUGCCGGUUGGACAUUAUCAAACCUUUUUGUAGUUGCAAUCAGCGUCAGAAAAAUAACAAUAGUUACAACUUUCAACAACGGAUCUCUUGGUUCUG